rnacentral:rRNA from 1 species
UACGUAGGGGGCAAGCGUUGUUCGGAAUUACUGGGCGUAAAGCGCGCGUAGGCGGUCUGAAAAGUCAGAUGUGAAAGCCCCGGGCUCAACUUGGGAACUGCAUUUGAUACUGUCAGACUAGAGUACAGAAGAGGUGACUGGAAUUCCCAAGUGUAGCGGUGAAAUGCGUAGAUAUUGGGAGGAACGACCAGAUGCGAAGGCGGGUCACUGGGCUGAUACUGA